rnacentral:rRNA from 1 species
GACGAACGCUGGCGGCGUGCUUAACACAUGCAAGUCGAACGAUGAAGCUAGAGCUUGCUCUGGUGGAUUAGUGGCGAACGGGUGAGUAACACGUGAGUAACCUGCCCCGAACUCUGGGAUAACUGCUGGAAACGGUAGCUAAUACCGGAUAUGACCAAUGAAGGCAUCUUCUGUUGGUGGAAAGAAUUUCGGUUCGGGAUGGACUCGCGGCCUAUCAGCUUGUUGGUGAGGUAACGGCUCACCAGGGCGACGACGGGUAGCCGGCCUGAGAGGGUGAUCGGCCACACUGGGUCUGAGACACGGCCCAGACUCCUACGGGAGGCAGCAGUGGGGAAUAUUGCACAAUGGGCGCAAGCCUGAUGCAGCAACGCCGCGUGAGGGACGACGGCCUUCGGGUUGUAAACCUCUUUUAGUAGGGAAGAAGCGAAAGUGACGGUACCUGCAGAAAAAGCACCGGCUAACUACGUGCCAGCCGCCGCCGUAA